AUCAGGUCACGAUCUAUCUGCUUUGGAAUUUUCAGAUAAAUGGGACAUUCUGUUGUUGGGUUGCUGCCCCUGAAAUGGUAAUUUUAAGGAAAUUUUGCUGUUUUUGGUUAUUAUCUUGAAUAUUAUUAUAGAUAGAGAUAAACUUUAAACAGCAAUAAUGUUCAGCAAAGUAAGAUCUACAAAUAAGUCAACAUGACCAAAAUAGUCAGUUGACCACUUUUGGAGUUAUUGCCCUUUAUAGUCAAUUUUUAACCAUUUUUCGUAAAUCUUAGUAAUCUUUUAGAAAAAUCUUCUGCUCUGAAACUACUGGGCCAAAUUUAACCAAACUUGGCCAUAAUCAUCAUUGGGUAUCUAGUUAAAAAAAUGUGUCCGGUAACUCGGCCAACAAACCAAGAUGGCCGCCAUGGCUAAAAAUAGAACAUGGAGGUAAAAUGCAGUUUUUGGCUUAUAACUCAAAAACCAAAGCAUUAAGAGCAAAUCUGACAGGAAGUAAAAUUGUUGAUCAGGUCACGAUUUUCAGAUGAAUCGGAUAAUCGGUUGUUAGGUUGCUGCCCCUGAAUUGGUUAUUUUGAGGAAAUUUUGCUGUUUUUUUGUUAUUAUCUUGAAUAUUAUUAUAGAUAGAGAUAAACUGUAAACAGCAAUAAUGUACAGCAAAGUAAGAACUAAAAAUAAGUCAGUAUGACCAAAAUAGUCAAUUGACCCCCUAAGGAGUUAUUGCCCUUCAUAGUCAAUUUUUAACAAUUUUCUUAAAAUUUGAAGAUUUUCAAUAACAUUUUCCACAGAAAGUACUAUUAUAGAUAGAGAUAAUUGUAAGCAGCAAGAAUGUUUAGUAAAGUAAGAUCUACAAACACAUCACCAUCACCAAAACACAAUUUUGUCAUGAAUCCAUCUGUGUCCAUUGUUUAAUAUUCAUAUAGACCAAGGUGAGCGACAC
rnacentral:lncRNA from 1 species